UACAGAGGGUGCGAGCGUUAAUCGGAAUUACUGGGCGUAAAGCGCGCGUAGGCGGCUUUGCAAGUCGGGUGUGAAAUCCCCAGGCUUAACCUGGGAACUGCAUUCGAGACUGCAUUGCUAGAGUAUGGGAGAGGGAAGUGGAAUUUCCGGUGUAGCGGUGAAAUGCGUAGAUAUCAGGAGGAACACCGAUGGCGAAGGCAGAUCUCUGGGCCGUAACUGACGCUGAGGAGCGAAAGCGUGGGGAGCGAACAGG
rnacentral:rRNA from 1 species